rnacentral:rRNA from 1 species
UGAGGAAUUUUGCGCAAUGGCCGCAAGGCUGACGCAGCAACGCCGCGUGGGUGAUGAAGGCCUUCGGGUCGUAAAGCCCUGUCGGGUGGGAAGAAAGGGCCGACGAGGACAAGUCGUGGGUUUUGACGGUACCACCAGAGGAAGCACCGGCUAACUCCGUGCCAGCAGCCGCGGUAAUACGGAGGGUGCGAGCGUUAUUCGGAAUUACUGGGCGUAAAGGGCGAGUAGGCGGCGGGAUAAGUCUGAUGUGAAAGCCCCGGGCUUGACCUGGGAAGUGCAUUGGAGACUGUUUCGCUUGAGUACCGGAGAGGAAGGGGGAAUUCCCGGUGUAGAGGUGAAAUUCGUAGAGAUCGGGAGGAAUACCAGUGGCGAAGGCGCCCUUCUGGACGGUUACUGACGC